UGAAAUGACCUAAAUAAAGAGUCUGCUAAAAUUCGAAAAGCUCAAAAAACAAAUUAAACGAAGCCCAAAACAAACUUAUAUAAGAGACCAACCCAAACUCUAGUACUUAAUAUCCCCCACUUACAUUACACUAAUUACAAUUAAUCAGCCUAAUAAAUAUACAUUACAAACUAGUAAAGUACAACAUAUUAUACAGGAAAAUAUAAAAGGGAUUUUCUCCCCAUUUCUUCCGCCGCCUCAGCCAAACCCUAGCGCAAAAUCGCGCCGCUCCAGCACCUCCGCCAACAAAACUUCGCCGCCGACGGCGAAGCUGACCACACCGCACCACAAAUCAGCGACAACUUCAUCUACUCACUGGUAGUUUAUACUCCAUGUAAACUCAUGGCUGUUUAACACCACCCGACAAACGAAAACCCUAAAUCUCCCCCAAACACCGACGAAAUUGGUGAGCAUCAUCGACGACGGUGUAUUUACCCUAACCCAGUCCAAAACCACGGAAGGUAGCCCUAGAUCUCGACACCUCCACCAAGUAAAACAGAGAAAAAAGCACCAUCUACGUCGGACGAUAUUUCUUCCAUCACCAGAGAAAGCUUCAAAAUUGUGAAAGAGAUGAACAAAGCUUCCAAAUUCGUUCCAACACAGUCCAAGCAGGAACAGAACAUGGGCUCGUCCGAGUAAAGCUCGGGCUCCGGGAAUGAUAUCAAUUUACGAAAAGUAUUGCAGCAUAUGAUCUACACGUAUGGCAAGUCAAAAUUUGAAGAGAAAGAACCAAGAUAGCAUAGCAAAGGAGAUGAUCUAAAAAAUAGAAAUCAUGAAGGAGCAAAGACAGGAACAAAAAUGAGAUAGCAAUAGAAGCAAUACACAUAUUAAAGGUAUGAAAAUUGCAUUCAUUAUAUAUGAGCUAACAUAGAUAAUAUAAAACUAAUACAGAAAUAGGAACAUCAGAUAUUUACAGGAGGUAAAUGAGUUUAUAUAACAUUUACAAAUAGCGAAAGUCAGAAAAAUAUGCAUAUAGAAGAACAGUGAGUGAAGAAGAAUGGAGUGGAGAAUGUAUGAAGAAACUGAAGUAGAUCUUUGUUGCUAAUAAUGUUUGAGUGAUUUCUGUUGCAAAGAGCUUGCUUAGUGAUUAAGAAGGGGGGUUAGCGCCGGGGUAUUUAUAGGACACAAAUGCAGUGUAAGCUGGUUAAAAAAAAGUGCAAGUUCCCAAAAAAAACACAGUCAUGAGAAAGGCAUUCCAUAUAAUAAAUCAAAAUAUUGUACUAUCAGUUAAUAAUCUUCACUUAAUGGGCUUUAAAAAUAGUCUGUAAAAUAUUAAUAGGAUUUAACAGACAAUAUUAAUAGGAUUCAGGUUCAAUAUUUCGAUUGUAUUUAAACUGUCAUAUACUAAUAACUCCAUUCUUUAUGGGGAAUAUUACCGUAUUUAAUAGUGUUUCUCUUUUUGUUUACAGAAAAAACAUUUCAGAAAAUAUUAGUAUAUUUAAUAAGGUCUCUCACUAUUUGCAUACAGAAAUUAAUCUCUCAUUAUUUCGAGAUUAUGUAUUCCAAAAGUUUUAUAUUUAUGACUCCUAAUAUGCUGAUUAAUUUAUUACAGCAUCUCAUUGGAAACAGACAAAUGGAUCUGUGACAGUUUUCCCUCUCCUUUUCAUAAAUAAUUUUCGGAUUUAUAUAUAAGAAAUGUUUAAAAUAUGAAUACUACUAACAUACUCCCUCCGUCCCAGACUACUUGCACUUAUUUCCUUUCUGGACGUCCCAAGUUAUUUGCACUCUUUCCAUUUUUAGUAAAAAUUAUCACCUUCAGCCGCAAUUGUUGACUUUGCUAUACACUCAUUCCUUAAUCUCUGUGCCAAAAAUAAAAUGUGCGAGUAGUCCGAGACGGAUGGAGUAUUAAAUAUUUUUUCAGGGACAGUGCAUUGGAAAUAGAAAGUGAGCUGUCACAGCAUGGAAGAACGGAACAUAUAUAUGUAAUAGAAUAGUGUUUCAUGCAUGCACUCUACAUCUCUAACUCAAAUAGGCUUGCAGCCUACUUAUAAUUUGGAUACGCAACAAACAAAUUAGGCCAUAAACAUUACUUUGAACCAUUUGAAUUUAAAAUAAUAGUAAUGCAGGAUUUUCAACAUUUGUAAAAGAAAAAAAAAUUAAUUACACACUCAUCUCUCAUUUUCCCGCCCAAAAAGGUGUUAC